AGACCCGAAACCCGGUGAUCUAGCCAUGGGCAGGUUGAAGGUUGGGUAACACUAACUGGAGGACCGAACCGACUAAUGUUGAAAAAUUAGCGGAUGACCUGUGGCUGGGGGUGAAAGGCCAAUCAAACCGGGAGAUAGCUGGUUCUCCCCGAAAGCUAUUUAGGUAGCGCCUCGUGAAUUCAUCUCCGGGGGUAGAGCACUGUUUCGGCUAGGGGGCCAUCCCGGCUUACCAACCCGAUGCAAACUGCGAAUACCGGAGAAUGUUAUCACGGGAGACACACGGCGGGUGCUAACGUCCGUCGUGAAGAGGGAAACAACCCAGACCGCCAGCUAAGGUCCCAAAGUCAUGGUUAAGUGGGAAACGAUGUGGGAAGGCCCAGACAGCCAGGAUGUUGGCUUAGAAGCAGCCAUCAUUUAAAGAAAGCGUAAUAGCUCACUGGUCGAGUCGGCCUGCGCGGAAGAUGUAACGGGGCUAAACCAUGCACCGAAGCUGCGGCAGCGACGCUUAUGCGUUGUUG
rnacentral:rRNA from 2 species